rnacentral:lncRNA from 1 species
AUAUCAUCACAUCAAGUGUGAAGACAGAUGUUUGGCCACCCUACCCGUGAGAAGUGUGGGGUGGGGAGCACAGGGCCAUAGCUGCCAUUUCUGUGCCGAAAUAAACCUGCCACAUAAAAGGAAAAGGGUUCCUGAGCUUGAUUAAGACCUAAAAGUAGAGAUUUUUCCUGUUCCGUGCAAUUAUGAGGAGUUUCUCAGCAACACUCAGGAAUACCAAUGAGCAGCUCUAUGGUAACCAAGGAGACAAAUCCACCAGCAAAAUCUUAACCAGGAAUCUUCCAGGACCAGACUCCCUCCCACAACUAAUCUCCACCAGAAAGUGCCAGAGAACAGCAUGACCUGACUCUUAACUCAGAUGACUCUACAUGGGAGUCUGACGCCCCCAAACUCCUCAUGAACCUGAGAAAGUUCAGACUUUCUAGAUGCUUCUUAGAGAGAAGAAUGAUCAGUCACUGUGAUGCCGACCCUAGCUGGGAGCUACAGCGUUGCCAGGAAACAUCCAGCUCGUUGAAAUUAUUGCCUUCCCAGCAGAGUAUAUUUUACAUAAAAUAUGCCCCAAAUAACUACAUCUUCUCACACAACUGAGACUUGCUACUUGAAAUGUCUUGAAGUAUGAAUGUUUUUGCUUGGAUUGUUCACCUAAUAGUGUGAUUGCUCUUGGUUCAAGACGUUGAGCACAAAGAGAGAUGCUAAUGUAUUUUAAUCAUCA